rnacentral:lncRNA from 1 species
UACUGUACUCUUAUGAGUAUGAUCGUUCUCGUACUCAUAAAUAAUUUUAGAUGAUAGAGUUUCUGAAUCGACGAUCCAUACCGUUAAAUAUUAUCUAGAGCAUUUAAAACUUCUACAAAUCAAAUUUUAUAAUUUUUCGACAUCAUUUACCUUACGAUCAAAAUGUCAUAAAAUUGACAAUUUUUAACGGCCAAUAUGCAAUACUUGCUAGUUUAACGGUGUAAAAGAACCGGAAUUGGUUGGAUGUUUGAGAGAAAAUUCUAUUCACUACCUAAAUAAAAAUCGAUAACUCCGAUCUUAAAUUAAAUGAUCCGAUUAUCAAUUUUUAAGACCUCGUUCGAUUUUUAUCAUACAUUUUAUGCCCGCUUGAUAGACUUUAUUAUGAGUUCAAAAAGUUACGAAAUUUAUUUUCUAGAAGUUUCAAAUACUCUAGAUUAUAUUUAACAGAGUGAAUUGUCGAUUCGGAAGCUCCAUUAUUGAAAAUAAUUUAUGAGUACGAAGGCUUCUAUACUCCUAAGAGUUAGGAAUGUCAAUGAGUAUGGAUACCCGAAAUUUUAUCCAAACCCGAACCCGAAUGAAACGGAUAUAUCCGAUAGAAAAUAAAAACCCGACGGAUAUGGAUUUGGAUAUGAAUUUUGAUUGUACCCGAUCCGAACCUGAACCCGACACCCGAACCCGAAUUUAUUUUGUAUUAU